rnacentral:misc_RNA from 1 species
UACACAAUAUGAAGGCGGGCUGGACACCCUCCAGCCGGGCACUGCUUCACGGCGUGCGCGGCGGGAGCCGGCCCUGCUGAAUUAUUCACCCGUGUCUUUUGCGUACUUCUUGUUUCCUGGGUGGGCUCGCCCGCCAUCAGGACCAACCAUAAACCUUUUUGUAAUAGCAAUCAGCGUCAGUAACAACGUAAUUAAUUACAACUUUCAACAACGGAUCUCUUGGUUCUGGCAUCGAUGAAGAACGCAGCGAAAUGCGAUACGUAGUGUGAAUUGCAGAAUUCAGUGAAUCAUCGAAUCUUUGAACGCACAUUGCGCCCUUUGGUAUUCCAAAGGGCAUGCCUGUUCGAGCGUCAUUUGUACCCUCAAGCUUUGCUUGGUGUUGGGCGUCUUUUGUCUCCAGCUCGCUGGAGACUCGCCUUAAAGUCAUUGGCAGCCGGCCUACUGGUUUCGGAGCGCAGCACAAGUCGCGCUCUUGCCCAGCCAAGGUCCGCGUCCAGCAAGCCUUUUUUCAACCUUUGACCUCGGAUCAGGUAGGGAUACCCGCUGAACUUAAGCAUAUCAAUAA